GCUGCAUACAGUUGUUGAAGUGCUGAAGUCAAGAAAGCUGUGGUAUUUUGCAACAGCUGAAGCCUUAGGUGCCUGGGGGUGCAUACGUAUGUUAUACGUGGCUUGGGUAUUUACUGUAGGGCCGGAUUUCAUGUAGGGGAUCUGAUGGUGGUGUGCCAAAAUGAAAAAGAGAGAAAAUUCCUUUUCCACACAGCGCUGUCAAAAUUCUGCUUUUGUACUUUGAAUCAUCAGCUCUCAUGCUUUUAGUCUUGCAAUUGUUUGAAGAGGUCAUAAAUAUUUCUGCUAUUCUGUUAAAUGCAGUCUGCUUUGAUUACCAAACCUUGCUUUAGUAUUGCACUCAGGGGGGUAAUGAUAAUAUUGAUUUACCUACAAAUAGUAUGUAGUAUAUCAAUGUUAUCAGGCAUGACUUUAUUUUAGUAGAAACUUUACAAUACAAAUCUAAUCUGAUAGUUUUAUACGAUCUCUGGCUCUGGAUGUUGGAAAUAGGCUGCAGCUUGUGUUGUAAUGGUUUUGUUUAACAUAGCAUGAGGCUUUUCAAAAGCAUUUGAGGGCUAACCUUUACAUUUUUUUUUUCAUUCUUACCCAUGAAUGGCCAUUGUAAUGAUGACUUGCAAGAAAGUUUGAAAUGUUUCAGAAACCUCCUGCCCUAACUUUGAUAUUUUUGUUUGAAGGUCACCUUUUAAGAGGCAGUGAGCUGUGUUGCACUGUCUGAAGGAUAUUGAAAACUUGCUGCUGAACAGGAUUCAGAGUGGCUUAGGAGCAGAAAAUAUCUUCUCUUACUCGACACCUGUUGAGAAGUGACCUGGCUGUAACUCCUUUCUUGCUGCUACUCCUAAUGUACCAAAAGGGAGAGGAAGCCUUUGCUGCAAACCCUUCAGCAGAGAGGGGAUCCACGGAGGAUUCUGUUACGUGGUGCUGCCUAGGGCCCAGUUUGAUUUCACCUCGUCUUUCCAGCAGUCCUAGAUCUUUUCAAAAAAUGUGGGUGGAGGUCCAUUACACAUGCUUACUAUGGUUACUCGCCAUGAAAAACAGUACAAACAGCCAACACAGACUCCAGGUGGUGGAUCAGCAUUAAGCAUAAUAGACCCAGGGGCAGAGGAUUGGCAAGAUAUGACAAGAAAUGGUUGUACGUCCAUCCCCUUCAACUCCAUGACCUUCUGCGAGAGACAGGGAUAUGGAGCAACAGGCUCUGGGUCAUUAGUAUCAAUAACACAGAUCUCUCUCAUGCCACACCUAAACUAAAUUGUCAAUAGGAGGUGUUGUAGAAGAUUCACACAUCAUUCCAGCAACUGUAAUAUCUGUUGGGAAAUGCAAAAACACCAGGUGCGUAGCUGCUGGUUAGAGUUUCCAUUUACUUUACCUGGGGCUUUUCUGUAACAUGCAACAAAGUACGUCACAUGCAGAAAAAAGUAGGUGGAAGGUUCUUUCCAAACCACAUUGACCGAAAGAAUGUACGUGACAGGUAAGCUGUAUGCUGACGUGCUCAUGCAUUCUGCAGUAGAAAGGGUUACCUUGUCAAGGAAAUCUUCCUGGUGCAGGUGUGCAUCCUUGCAGAUUCAUUCACAGAAUGAGAGAUGAGAAUGAGCCCUCCCUGAUCUGACAAGUACAAACAGCAUUUUAUCCGUUUGUCUCCUAGGACAUUUGCUAGCUGUCUCGUUAAUCUUUUACUCAAAGUCAGACAUAUGUAUUGAUGGAAAAACAAACCAUAGACCACAGACCCCCUGCCUAGCAUUCCUGACCUCCUCAGGAUAACACUCACAAUAGAAAUAUACAGACAGCACUGAUAUUUCCUUGGCCUUGUAUCUGCAUUUUCUCCUUUUUCACUGCUAUACUUAUAAUCCCUUCUUCCUACUAUUUAUUUGUACUGUUGAGUAACUAUCUGCC
rnacentral:lncRNA from 1 species